GACAGAGGGUGCAAACGUUUGUUCGGAAUUACUGGGCGUAAAGCGCAUGUAGGCGGCAACGCAAGUCGGGCGUGAAAUCCCACGGCUCAACCGUGGAAGUGCACUCGAAACUGCGUAGCUAGAGUCCUGGAGAGGAAGGUGGAAUGCUUGGUGUAGAGGUGAAAUUCGUAGAUAUCAAGCGGAACACCGGUGGCGAAGGCGGCCUUCUGGACAGUGACUGACGCUGA
rnacentral:rRNA from 1 species